AGAUUGAACGCUGGCGGCAGGCCUAACACAUGCAAGUCGAGCGGCAGCACGGGUACUUGUAUCUGGUGGCGAGCGGCGGACGGGUGAGUAAUGCCUAGGAAUCUGCCUGGUAGUGGGGGAUAACGCUCGGAAACGGACGCUAAUACCGCAUACGUCCUACGGGAGAAAGCAGGGGACCUUCGGGCCUUGCGCUAUCAGAUGAGCCUAGGUCGGAUUAGCUAGUUGGUGGGGUAAUGGCUCACCCAGGCGACGAUCCGUAACUGGUCUGAGAGGAUGAUCAGUCACACUGGAACUGAGACACGGUCCAGACUCCUACGGGAGGCAGCAGGUGGGGAA
rnacentral:rRNA from 1 species